rnacentral:rRNA from 1 species
GGGGAAUUUUGGACAAUGGGCGAAAGCCUGAUCCAGCCAUUCCGCGUGAGUGAAGAAGGCCUUCGGGUUGUAAAGCUCUUUCGGCAGGAACGAAACGGCCGUUUCUAAUAAAGACGGCUAAUGACGGUACCUGAAGAAGAAGCACCGGCUAACUACGUGCCAGCAGCCGCGGUAAUACGUAGGGUGCGAGCGUUAAUCGGAAUUACUGGGCGUAAAGCGUGCGCAGGUGGUUGUUUAAGACAGAUGUGAAAUCCCCGGGCUUAACCUGGGAACUGCGUUUGUGACUGGACAGCUAGAGUGCGGCAGAGGGGGGUGGAAUUCCACGUGUAGCAGUGAAAUGCGUAGAGAUGUGGAGGAACACCGAUGGCGAAGGCAGCCCCCUGGGCCAGCACUGACGCUCAUGCACGAAAGCGUGGGGAGCAAAC